UCACUUCUCAGCCUUUUGGCUAAGAUCCAGUAUAGUAU
rnacentral:snRNA from 1 species